rnacentral:rRNA from 1 species
CCUACGGGAGGCAGCAGUGAGGAAUAUUGGUCAAUGGGCUUACGCCUGAACCAGCCAAGUCGCGUGAGGGAAGACUGCCCUAUGGGUUGUAAACCUCUUUUGUCAGGGAGCAACGCCGGCUACGUGUAGCCGGACUGAGAGUACCUGAAGAAAAAGCAUCGGCUAACUCGGUGCCAGCAGCGGCGGUAUUAUGGAGGAUGCGAGCGUUAUCCGGAUUUAUGGGGUUUAAAGGGUGCGUAGGCGGAAUGCCAAGUCAGCGGUAAAAUCGCGGGGCUCAACCUCGCACUGCUGUUGAAACUGGCGGUCUUGAGUGGGCGAGAAGUAUGCGGAAUGCGUGGUGUAGCGGUGAAAUGCAUAGAUAUCACGCAGAACUCCGAUUGCGAAGGCAGCAUACCGGCGCCCAACUGACGCUGAAGCACGAAAGCGUGGGUAUCGAACAGGAUUAGAUACCCUGGUAGUC